AGCAGUCGCCACGGGAAUACGUAGGGUGCAAGCGUUAAUCGGAAUUACUGGGCGUAAAGCGUGCGCAGGCGGUUUUGUAAGUUUGUCGUGAGAGCCCCGGGCUCAACCUGGGAAUUGCGAUGAAGACUGCAAGGCUUGAAUCUGGCAGAGAGGGGUAGAAUUCCACGUGUAGCAGUGAAAUGCGUAGAGAUGUGGAGGAACACCGAUGGCGAAGGCAGCCCCCUGGGUCAAGAUUGACGCUCAUGCACGAAAGCGUGGGGAGCAAACAGGAUUAGAUACCCCCGUAGUCCCUGUCUCUUAUAA
rnacentral:rRNA from 1 species